UACGGGGGGGUGCGAGCGUUGUCCGGAAUCACUGGGCGUAAAGGGCGCGUAGGUGGUUUGAUAAGGGUGUGGUGAAAGUCCGGAGCUCAACUCCGGAUCUGCCGUGCCGACUGUCAAACUCGAGGGCUGUAGAGGCAGACGGAAUUCCUGGUGUAGCGGUGAAAUGCGCAGAUAUCAGGAGGAACACCGAUGGCGAAGGCAGGUCUCUGGGCCACUACUGACGCUGAGAAGCGAAAGCAUGGGGAGCGAACAGG
rnacentral:rRNA from 1 species